UUACAAUCUAUAUUUAUUUUCCGCUUGAGAUGCCGUUGGAGGGGGAAAUAUGUGAACUGUACCGCUUUGUUUCAAAUGGAACUCACGAGAAUUGGAUUUUGUUGUAUUUUUAACGGACGAUCCCUCAGAAGAGAAAUAAAGGAGAAUCGCCAAUCUCAAAGAGCUGUUGAAAAAGUGCACAUGAAUCAUAUAGGAUCCAGCAAAGGACUAAUAUUUGCUGUCGCUGAUAAUAACCCAACCACAUCCGUUGAUUUGUCGUAUAAAUGGUUUUCGCUCUCUAAUGGCAACCACUACGUAGAUAUGGCUUCAAACGGUAGCCCUAUAUCACCAGGUAUCGAGAUAUGGAAUGGAUACACAGCCGGCAUUAUACAGAUCAGCGACUCUGUUAAAGAUCUCAGCGAUGAUAUACGCGGGUGUCGACUUUCCAGCCAAAGACUUCCAUUGUUUCCAGAGUAUCAACGAGACUAUUGCUUAUUAGAGUGUGAGAUAAGACUGGUGAUCGACAAAUGCAAGUGUGUCCAGAUCACUCACCCCCAGAUCCCAGGUGUUCCGCACUGCACCGCUCACCAGCUGACAUGUGCCAGGCGAGCUGUUGUGUCAUUUGGUUUCGACGAAUGUAAGUGUCCGAGCAAUUGUGAGGUGGACACGAGUAUCGUUACCCAUUUUUCCUAUAAACUGGAUCAGAACUCGCCGACAUUCGAUUCUUUCUAUCAUCAUCUAAAUGUGUCCAGGAUCAGCAUAAUUCGUAUUUAUGUGAAGAACUACAACAGAAUGAUAACAAAACGUAAAUCAUACUUCACAAGUUUUAAUUUAUUUGCCCAGCUGGGGGGUGUCUUCAACGUAUUCUUUGGUGUCAGCGUGCUCAGUCUUCUGGAACUCUUGAUGGUCGCUUGGAGAACUCUUUACGAGUGGGCCAUGUUCAGAUAGUUU